GCAAUGAUGAUCAUUAGAGUUUUGAUCAGCAAUGAAAAAAACUACUAAUUCCUCUAAGAAGUUCUGAGCUC